CACGGGUGAGUAACACGUAUCCAACCUGCCGUCUACUCUUGGCCAGCCUUCUGAAGGAAGAUUAAUCCAGGAUGGCAUCAUGAGUUCACAUGUCCGCAUGAUUAAAGGUAUUUUCCGGUAGACGAUGGGGAUGCGUUCCAUUAGAUAGUAGGCGGGGUAGCGGCCCACCUAGUCAACGAUGGAUAGGGGUUCUGAGAGGAAGGUCCCCCACAUUGGAACUGAGACACGGUCCAA
rnacentral:rRNA from 1 species